rfam:Gossypium arboreum cultivar AKA8401 contig_27716_3, whole genome shotgun sequence.
UGUUAAAAAUUUCAUCCAUUUGAACUAUUAAAAAUUGGUGUGCCUGACAGAAUAACCAGACUGUGGCACAUGGUAUGCUAUGUGUAUGUCAUGCUAGUGUACAAAGACCAGUUUUUAACAGUAGAAAUGAUGAAAAUUUUAAAA